rnacentral:SRP_RNA from 1 species
GCUGGGUGCGGUGGCUCACACCUGUAAUCCCAGCACUUUGGGAGGCCGAGGCGGGCGGAUCAUGAGGUCAACAGAUCGAGACCAUCCUGGCCAACAUGGUGAAACCCUGUCUCUAUUAAAAAUACAAAAAAAUUAGCUAGGCAUGGUGGUGCGCGCCUGUAGUCCCAGCUACUCAGUAGGCUGAGGCAGGAGAAUCACUUGAACCCAGGAGGAGGNNNNNNNNNNUGCCUCAGCCUACUGAGUAGCUGGGACUACAGGCGCGCACCACCAUGCCUAGCUAAUUUUUUUGUAUUUUUAAUAGAGACAGGGUUUCACCAUGUUGGCCAGGAUGGUCUCGAUCUGUUGACCUCAUGAUCCGCCCGCCUCGG